UGGGGAAUAUUGGACAAUGGGGGCAACCCUGAUCCAGCCAUGCCGCGUGGGUGAAGAAGGCCUUCGGGUUGUAAAGCCCUUUUGUACGGGAAGAAAAGCUUCUGGUUAAUAACCGGGAGUCAUGACGGUACCGUAAGAAUAAGCACCGGCUAACUUCGUGCCAGCAGCCGCGGUAAUACGAAGGGUGCAAGCGUUACUCGGAAUUACUGGGCGUAAAGCGUGCGUAGGCGGUAAGUUAAGUCUGAUGUGAAAUCCCCGGGCUCAACCUGGGAAUGGCAUUGGAUACUGGCACGCUAGAGUACGGUAGAGGGUGGUGGAAUUCCCGGUGUAGCAGUGAAAUGCGUAGAGAUCGGGAGGAACAUCCGUGGCGAAGGCGGCCACCUGGACCAGUACUGACGCUGAGGCACGAAAGCGUGGGGAGCAAACAGGAUUAGAUACCCCGGUAGUCC
rnacentral:rRNA from 1 species